rnacentral:rRNA from 1 species
UACGUAGGGACCAAGCGUUGUUCGGAUUUACUGGGCGUAAAGGGCGCGUAGGCGGUUUGUCAAGUCAGUUGUGAAAUCUCCGAGCUUAACUCGGAACGGUCAACUGAUACUGUCAAACUAGAGUACAGAAGGGGCAAUCGGAAUUCUUGGUGUAGCGGUGAAAUGCGUAGAUAUCAAGAGGAACACCUGAGGUGAAGACGGGUUGCUGGGCUGAUACUGACGCUGAGGCGCGAAAGCUAGGGUAGCAAAC